rnacentral:rRNA from 1 species
GUAGGGAAUAUUGGACAAUGGGCGAAAGCCUGAUCCAGCAACGCCGCGUGCGCGAUGACGGCCUUCGGGUUGUAAAGCGCUUUUAGAGGAGAUGAGAAAGGACAGUAUCCUCAGAAUAAGCCUCGGCGAACUACGUGCCAGCAGCCGCGGUAAAACGUAGGAGGCUAGCGUUAUCCGGAUUUAUUGGGCGUAAAGCGCGUGCAGGCGGUUUGAUAAGUUGGAUGUGAAAUCUCCCGGCUUAACUGGGAGCGGUCGUUCAAAACUAUCAGACUAGAGAAUGGGAGAGGAAGGUGGAAUUCCGGGUGUAGUGGUGAAAUGCGUAGAUAUCCGGAGGAACACCAGUGGCGAAAGCGGCCUUCUAGACCAUUUCUGACGCUAAGACGCGAAAGCUAGGGUAGCAAACGGGAUUAGAAACCCGGGUAGUCC